rnacentral:rRNA from 1 species
AUUGAACGCUGGCGGCAGGCCUAACACAUGCAAGUCGAACGGUAACAGAAAGCAGCUUGCUGCUUUGCUGACGAGUGGCGGACGGGUGAGUAAUGUCUGGGAAACUGCCUGAUGGAGGGGGAUAACUACUGGAAACGGUAGCUAAUACCGCAUAACGUCGCAAGACCAAAGAGGGGGACCUUCGGGCCUCUUGCCAUCGGAUGUGCCCAGAUGGGAUUAGCUAGUAGGUGGGGUAACGGCUCACCUAGGCGACGAUCCCUAGCUGGUCUGAGAGGAUGACCAGCCACACUGGAACUGAGACAUGGUCCAGACUCCUACGGGAGGCAGCAGUGGGGAAUAUUGCACAAUGGGCGCAAGCCUGAUGCAGCCAUGCCGCGUGUAUGAAGAAGGCCUUCGGGUUGUAAAGUACUUUCAGCGGGGAGGAAGGGAGUAAAGUUAAUACCUUUGCUCAUUGACGUUACCCGCAGAAGAAGCACCGGCUAACUCCGUG